CCAUUUAUAUUUUCAUGUGUGUGA
rnacentral:siRNA from 1 species